rnacentral:rRNA from 1 species
UGGGGAAUUUUGCACAAUGGGGGAAACCCUGAUGCAGCGACGCCGCGUGAUUUAGAAGGCCUUCGGGUUGUAAAAAUCUUUUCUAUGGGAAGAAAAUGACAGUACCAUAGGAAUAAGGACCGGCUAAUUACGUGCCAGCAGCCGCGGUAAUACGUAAGGUCCGAGCGUUGUCCGGAAUCAUUGGGCGUAAAGGGUACGUAGGCGGGUAAGCAAGUUAGAAGUGAAAUCCUAUAGCUCAACUAUAGUAAGCUUUUAAAACUGCUCAUCUUGAGGUAUGGAAGGGAAAGUGGAAUUCCUAGUGUAGCGGUGAAAUGCGCAGAUAUUAGGAGGAAUACCGGUGGCGAAGGCGACUUUCUGCCAUAACCUGACGCUGAGGUACGAAAGCGUGGGUAGCAAACAGG